GUGCUUGCUUCGGCAGCACAAAUACUAAAACUGGAACGAUAUAGAGAAGAUUAGCACGGCCCCUGCAUAAG
ensembl:snRNA U6 U6 spliceosomal RNA